GCUGGGCAUGGUGGCACACGCCUGUAAUCCCAGCAGCUCAGGAGGCUGAGACAGGAGGAUCACAAGUUCAAAGGCAGCUUCAACAACUUAGCAAAGCCCUAAGCAAUUCAGUGAGAUCUGUCUCUU
rnacentral:sRNA from 1 species